GUUGCAUGCAGUGGAAGCUGCUCAGUGCGGUUGAAUACAAUGUGGAGUCUUGAAUAAGGCAUAAAAAUAAAUAAUGGACGCUAGCAUAGAUUUUGUGAAAUUUGAAUAAAAUCUGUACUGUAGUUAAUUUUUUUAAAGCAGAAUUUUAUUCUUUGUUUUAUGUUCUGUGAAAAGGGAACUGAAAAUAUUCUCUGUGUCGAGAUCUAGAUGUCUCUUUAAAUAACUGAUAUCCCAAAUCUUAAUUCAAUUAUGUUUUUAAAGAACAGGAGCUGUUCCUCAUAGGGGAAUGAACCCUAUAAUUUAUGAUGGAUAAAAUGAGGGUGAGGUUGUUAUUGUGUUAGAAAAGCUCCCCCUGAAUUAGAAUCACCUGAUCUCCUACAUGAGCGCUAAGCAUGCUUCCUUAUUAAGGUGAGAAUGAACACUCAACCCAGGAGGAACAAUUGGAAAUACUUGACAACAGACUCAGUGGCAGAAUGUAUUAGGAGAAGGGCAGUCCCUCAGACAGGGACCAGCUACCUGGUUGAUGCCAAAGCUCUUUUUCACCAAAAAGAGUUGCAGGAGAUUCAAUCAUUCAUUCAUUGACUAUGUAUUUAGUAAAGGCCUGCUAAAGUAAAGGCUUCCCAGGUGGUGCUAGUGGUAAGAACCCGCCUGCCAAUGCAGGAGAUGUAAGAGGUGUGGGUUCGAUCCCUGGAUUGGGAAGAUCCGCUGGAGGAGGGCAUGGCAACCCACUCCAGUAUUCUUACCUGGACAAUCCCUUGGACAGAGGAGCCUGGCAGGCUACAGUCCAUAGGAUUGUAAAGAGGCAGACAUGACUCAAUCGACUUAGCAUGCACACAAGCAUGGAGAAUGAUGCAGGCACACCAGGUAAUAAGGGGAAGAUAUGUCUUCUGCAUUUAAGAAGCUUAUACUACAGUGGAGGAGACACAGCAUAUCUAACUGUAAAAUUAAAUAGAAAUGUACUGGUGAACUUAUAUCCAUGGCAACAAUGACAGUGAGUAAACACGUUACUAUCCAUGAGUGAUACAAAAGUUUUAUGAGUUUGCAGGAGGUAGAGAUCAUAGAUUGAAUUCAAGAGGUGACAGAAGGCUCCCUAGAGUUGGAGAGGUUAUGGAAGGCUUCAUGGAAAAGGCAGAAUUGAACUGAACCACACACCUGGAGAAGUAAAUGGCAACUCACUCCAGUACUCUUGCCUGGAGAAUCCCAUGGACAGAGGAGCCUGGCAGGCUACAGUCCAUGGAUCGCAAGAAUUGGACACGACUUAGUGACUAAACCACCACCACCACCACACACCUGGAAGGAUACGUAGGAGUCAGAGAAGCAGAAAAGAAGACUGUCCUUGGGUCAGUCUGAAGCAGGUGCUGUGAGCAAGAGUUUUAAAGUUUUAAAACUAUGUCAAUACUCUGGAACAUGGGAGAUGGUGUUGGCAAGGUAUGGAUUCAGAUUGUCUUGACUUGUCAGGCUAAGGAGUUUGGUCCUGUUUUAGGAAUUGAGGACCUAUCGCUGCAGUCAAGUGAUUGACAGGGAGAAUCAUGUCACCUGGUAGAAGAUGUAAUUUUUGGAGGGGGGACUUGCUUCGAAGGAAUUAUAAUGAAUUCACUUUUAAAUGCAUUGAGAUGACGAUGGAUAGCCCAGUGCGCCUGGAGAUACCCAUUGCUUAAUUGUGUAUUUGCAUAUGGAAAUGAGGUGAACGUUAUAGGACAGAGGCUGGAUGGGGAAAUAGAGGGGUAGCUGAAGCUGUGGGUAAGGACGUGACCCCAAAGGGAGAGGAGUCAGAGGGAUGAGGUCAGGAGGCUGAGGGCAGAUCCAUGAGGGCCUGCCCUGAAAAAGGGAGAGGAGGAAGAGGAAUAGGUGGGCCGAGUGGAAACUGAGAUGCUAAGCGAGGGACGAGAGGAGGUCAGUGGUGUCAGACCCUAGCGUGGUCAAGGAGAAGGAGGGGAGAACAAGGACCACACGAGGUCAUUGGGGUCUUUGUACUGUUUCCGGGGGCUUGUAAGGGGACAGAGCCAGCCUGGUCUGCCUGGAUGCACGUUUCAAAGCUGGCCUCAAGUCCAUAUCAUAUGGGAAUGCCUUAUUCACUCUGAUUAUUUUAUACCAGGUGGGUGUAAGCAGCUGCUCAGCGGAGGAGAGAGUGGGAGAGAAAGGGUGUGGUGAUGGACAGGUGGUGGCUUAAUCUGUGAUGAUUCCAACCCAGAGUCCUGUGAGAGGCAAGCCUGGUGGGUGGGAUAGGCACGCGUUCUCUUCUCUGGGCGGUCAGAGCUCCCCUAGGCUAUCCCUGGGCUGUGAGCCCCUUUCCUUGUUGGAUAUCGUCUUCAAGAGUGAAAUGUGGGGAGUGAGUGGGUCAAGACUGGCUGGUCAAUGCAGGAUGCAGCCUGGCACCCUCUCAGCCUCCUCACUGUCCCCUUGACUCCAGUGCCCAACACCACACCUGACAUGCGAAAGGCACUCAUUUUCUGUUUGCUGAAUGAAUGAAUCAGCCCGAGCCCACCAGGCUUAGUGAGCUCUGCAAUGUGUGUGGGCUGUAUUUUAUUUUCUGAGUCAAGAGGCCAAGGGCGUGGACGGAUAGGCAUGUUUCUGUCUGUUGUUCUUACAACAGUGAUGUAAAAUGGCGAUGCACCCUCAGCUCAUUCCUGUCAGUCGGAGCUGGAGCUCUGUGGAGUGGUCCUACUGCCUUCUAUCUUGACUGGGCAGCCGGACUAGACACUGACGGCAGGUGCUGAGGUGAUGGGGCAGGCAUCCUUGGUUGUCUGGGGCUAGACACUGGACCUCCAAACUGACUUUCCCAAUAGAUGGUGCAUGCGUGGUGCGUGAUUAGUCAGUUGUGUCCGACUCUGUGACCCUUUGGACUGUAGCCCCCAGGCCCCUUAGUCCAUGGGAUUCUCCAGGCAAGAAUACUUACUCAAUAUGUUGUCAUGUCCUUCUCCAAGGGAUCUUCCCUACCCAGGGAUCGAACCUGCAUCUCCUGUGUCUCCUGCAUUGUAGGUGGAUUGCCUACCCAUUGAGCCAUUGGAGAAACCCAAGGGAUAGUGCUUAGUAUCUGACUCUUUGUGACCCCAUGGCUGUAGCCUGCCAAGCUGCUCUGUCCAUGAAGUUCUCCAGACAAGAAUACUGGAGUGGGUAGCCACUCCCUACUCCAAGGGAUCUUCCCAAUCUAGGGAUUGAACGUGGGUCUCCCAUAUUGAGGGCAGAUUCCUUAUCAUCUGAGCCACCAGGGGAUUAAUUUCUCUUAAGGUUGACUUUUGUUUGGGCUGAAAAGUGACUCGUCUUAUGGAAACAAAAGGAUUGAAGUGGUAAUGCUAGACUCUUUGUGAUCCUAGAUGCAUGGAAAGAGAAUGAAGCGCUGACUGGUUCAGGAAUUCCCUAUUGUUCAUCACCACACCCCAGCUCAGGCCGUCCUGUUCCCCAAGGCUUCUGGGCCCCCAGUGCCCUGAUGAUUCUUCUCCCCCCCCCCCCCCCCCCCCC
ensembl:lncRNA